GACGAACGCUGGCGGCGUGCCUAAUACAUGCAAGUAGAACGCUGAAGAGAGGAGCUUGCUCUUCUUGGAUGAGUUGCGAACGGGUGAGUAACGCGUAGGUAACCUGCCUUGUAGCGGGGGAUAACUAUUGGAAACGAUAGCUAAUACCGCAUAACAAUGGAUGACACAUGUCAUUUAUUUGAAAGGGGCAAUUGCUCCACUACAAGAUGGACCUGCGUUGUAUUAGCUAGUAGGUGAGGUAACGGCUCACCUAGGCGACGAUACAUAGCCGACCUGAGAGGGUGAUCGGCCACACUGGGACUGAGACACGGCCCAGACUCCUACGGGAGGCAGCAGUAGGGAAUCUUCGGCAAUGGGGGCAACCCUGACCGAGCAACGCCGCGUGAGUGAAGAAGGUUUUCGGAUCGUAAAGCUCUGUUGUAAGUCAAGAACGAGUGUGAGAGUGGAAAGUUCACACUGUGACGGUAGCUUACCAGAAAGGGACGGCUAACUACGUGCCAGCAGCCGCGGUAAUACGUAGGUCCCGAGCGUUGUCCGGAUUUAUUGGGCGUAAAGCGAGCGCAGGCGGUUUGAUAAGUCUGAAGUUAAAGGCUGUGGCUCAACCAUAGUUCGCUUUGGAAACUGUCAAACUUGAGUGCAGAAGGGGAGAGUGGAAUUCCAUGUGUAGCGGUGAAAUGCGUAGAUAUAUGGAGGAACACCGGUGGCGAAAGCGGCUCUCUGGUCUGUAACUGACGCUGAGGCUCGAAAGCGUGGGGAGCGAACAGGAUUAGAUACCCUGGUAGUCCACGCCGUAAACGAUGAGUGCCAGGUGUUGGAUCCUUUCCGGGAUUCAGUGCCGCAGCUAACGCAUUAAGCACUCCGCCUGGGGAGUACGACCGCAAGGUUGAAACUCAAAGGAAUUGACGGGGGCCCGCACAAGCGGUGGAGCAUGUGGUUUAAUUCGAAGCAACGCGAAGAACCUUACCAGGUCUUGACAUCCCGAUGCUAUUUCUAGAGAUAGAAAGUUACUUCGGUACAUCGGUGACAGGUGGUGCAUGGUUGUCGUCAGCUCGUGUCGUGAGAUGUUGGGUUAAGUCCCGCAACGAGCGCAACCCCUAUUGUUAGUUGCCAUCAUUCAGUUGGGCACCCUAGCGAGACUGCCGGUAAUAAACCGGAGGAAGGUGGGGAUGACGUCAAAUCAUCAUGCCCCUUAUGACCUGGGCUACACACGUGCUACAAUGGUUGGUACAACGAGUUGCGAGUCGGUGACGGCAAGCUAAUCUCUUAAAGCCAAUCUCAGUUCGGAUUGUAGGCUGCAACUCGCCUACAUGAAGUCGGAAUCGCUAGUAAUCGCGGAUCAGCACGCCGCGGUGAAUACGUUCCCGGGCCU
rnacentral:rRNA from 1 species